UCUCCGUAGGUGAACCUGCGGAGGGAUCAUUACUGAGUGAGGGUCUCCGGGCCCGACCUCCAACCCUUUUGUGAACCACCUCGUUGCUUCGGGGGCGACCCUGCCGUUCGCGGCGUGGGGCCCCCGGCGGACCACUCAACUCUGCAUCUUUGCGUCUGAGUCUUAUAUAUGAAUUAAAUCAAAACUUUCAACAACGGAUCUCUUGGUUCUGGCAUCGAUGAAGAACGCAGC
rnacentral:misc_RNA from 1 species